rnacentral:tRNA from 1 species
GCUGUUGUGGCAUAGUGGUUGAGCAUUCAGCUGCUAACUGAAAGUUCAGCAGUU